rnacentral:rRNA from 1 species
AGAGUUUGAUCCUGGCUCAGGACGAACGCUGACGGUGUGCUUUAGGCAUGCAAGUCGAACGAGAAAGCCCUUCGGGGUGAGUAAAGUGGCGAACGGGUGAGUAACACGUGGGCAACCUGCCCCUCGCAGGGGGACAACCGGAGGAAACACCGGCUAAUACCCCGUAAGUUCUCAGGGUCGCAUGGCCUUGGGAGGAAAGGUAGCUUCGGCCAUCCGGCGAGGGAUGGGCCCGCGGUGCAUUAGCUAGUUGGUGGGGUAACGGCCCACCAAGGCGACGAUGCAUAGCUGGUCUGAGAGGAUGAUCAGCCACACUGGGACUGAGACACGGCCCAGACUCCUACGGGAGGCAGCAAUGAGGGAUAUUGCACAAUGGGCGAAAGCCUGAUGCAGCGACGCCGCGUGGGUGAGGAAGUUCUUCGGAAUGUAAAGCCCUUUUAACGGGGACGAUACCAGACGGUACCCGUUGAAUAAGCUCCGGCUAACUACGUGCCAGCAGCCGCGGUAAU